AAAUUGAAGAGUUUGAUCAUGGCUCAGAUUGAACGCUGGCGGCAGGCCUAACACAUGCAAGUCGAACGGUAACAGGAAGCAGCUUGCUGCUUCGCUGACGAGUGGCGGACGGGUGAGUAAUGUCUGGGAAACUGCCUGAUGGAGGGGGAUAACUACUGGAAACGGUGGCUAAUACCGCAUAACGUCGCAAGACCAAAGAGGGGGACCUUCGGGCCUCUUGCCAUCAGAUGUGCCCAGAUGGGAUUAGCUAGUUGGUGAGGUAACGGCUCACCAAGGCGACGAUCCCUAGCUGGUCUGAGAGGAUGACCAGCCACACUGGAACUGAGACACGGUCCAGACUCCUACGGGAGGCAGCAGUGGGGAAUAU
rnacentral:rRNA from 1 species